AUUGAACGCUGGCGACAGGCCUAACACAUGCAAGUCGAGCGAGCGGCGGACGGGUGAGUAAUUUAUGGGUACUGCCCGAUCGAGGGGGAUAACUACUGGAAACGGUAGCUAAUACCGCAUACUAUCGGAUAACCCAGAUGGGCUUAGCUAGUGGGUGUGGUAAUGGCUCACCUAGGCGACGAUCCCUAGCUGGUCGGAGAGGAGGAUCAGCCCCACUGGAACGGAGAGACGGCCCAGACUCCUACGGAGGCAGCAGUGGGGAAUAUUGCACAAUGGGAGCAAGCCUGAUGCAGCCAUGCCGAGUGGAUGAAGAGGGCCCUAGGGUUGUAAAGUACUUUCAGUCGGGAGGCGUUACCGACAGAAGAAGCACCGGCUAACUCCGUGCCAGCAGCCGCGGUAAUUC
rnacentral:rRNA from 1 species